rnacentral:rRNA from 1 species
GUCGGGAAGGGAUAAGCGCUGAAAGCAUAUAAGCGCGAAACCCACCACAAGAUGAGAUUUCUUUAAAGGGCCGUGGGAGACUACCACGUUGAUAGGCCGCAGGUGUAAAGGCAGUAAUGUCAUAGCCGAGCGGUACUAAUAGCCCAUAAGCUUAUGUACCCC